rnacentral:rRNA from 1 species
GACAGAGGUGCCGAGCGUUAGGCGGAAUCACUGGGCUUAAAGCGUGUGUAGGCGGGCGGGCAAGUACCUUGUGAAAUCCCACGGCUCAACCGUGGAACGGCUGGGUAUACUGCCUGUCUUGAGCCAACUAGGGGCGAGCGGAACAGACGGUGGAGCGGUGAAAUGCGUAGAUAUCGUCUGGAACGCCGAAGGUGAAAACAGCUCGCUGGGGUUGUGCUGACGCUGAGACACGAAAGCCAGGGGAGCAAAUGGG